rnacentral:ribozyme from 1 species
AGCCCAGCAACUCCUAUCCCUACCUCCUCGCGGUGCUGGCUGGAGUACGAGUAACCUUAGGGAAGA